rnacentral:rRNA from 1 species
AGCCAGCUAGUGGGAUCCAGAGUACCGCGAGACACGUGGAACCUUGCGGGAAGUCGGGGGGACCACCCCCCAAGGCUAAAUACUCCUUAGUGACCGAUAGCGCAUAGUACUGUGAAGGAAAGGUGAAAAGGACCCCGGGAGGGGAGUGAAAGAGAACCUGAAACCCUGUGUUUACAAACUGUGGGAGCACGUUAAGGUGCAACCGCGUACUUUUUGUAGAACGGUCCGGCGAGUUGCGGAUGCUGGCAAGGUUAAGGACGGAAAGUCCGGAGCCGAAGCGAGAGCAAGUCUUAACAGGGCGUCAAGUCAGCAUGUGCAGACCCGAAACCGGGUGAUCUAUCCAUGUCCAGGUUGAAGUUUCCGUAAAAGGAAAUGGAGGACCGAACGCACAUCCGUUGAAAAGGGUGGCGAUGAGGUGUGGAUAGGGGAGAAAUUCCAAUCGAACCCGGAGAUAGCUGGUUCUCCUCGAAAUAGCUUUAGGGCUAGCCUCGGUUUAGUCUCGUGGAGGUAGAGCACUGAAUUUCCUAGGGGGCGUCAAAGCCUACCGAAGAAUAUCAAACUCCGAAUGCCACAGAGAUGAUGACCGGGAGUCAGACGGCACGAGAUAAGUUGGGUCGUCGAAAGGGAAAGAGCCCAGACCUGCAGCUAAGGUCCCAAAGUGCGUGUUAAGUGGAAAAGGAUGUGGGAUUUCAAAGACAACUAGGAUGUUGGCUCAGAAGCAGCCACACAUUCAAAGAGUGCGUAAUAGCUCACUAGUCGAGAGGUCCUGCGCCGAAAAUGUCCGGGGCUGAAACACGUCACCGAAGCUCAGGAAUGACUUAUGGUCAUUGGUAGAGGAGCAUUCUUAAAGGAGCGAAGCAGUACCGGUAAGGAGCUGUGGACUUUUAAGAAGAGAGAAUGCCGGAAUGAGUAGCGAGAUGGAGGUGGGAAUCCUCCAGGCCGAAUAUCCAAGGUUUCCAGGGUAAAGCUGAUCUGCCCUGGGUAAGUCGGGGCCUAAGGCGAGGCUUAAGUGCGUAGCCGAUGGACAACAGGUCCAGAUUCCUGUACCGCAUGGUAUCAGAACUGUGGGGACGCAGAAGGACAGCACAACCGGGGGACAGAGCCCCGGGCAAGCAGGGUAGGAGUGAGACUGGCAAAUCCGUUUCAUGAUCCGAAUCUGUGACGCGGACCGAACAUAAGUAGGGAAGUGUGCGAUUCCGGCUGCCGAGAAAAGCCGCUAUUGUGUACCAUGUGCCCGUACCGUAAACCGACACAGGUGGAUGAGGAGAGAAUCCUAAGGCCGGCGGGAGAAGCAUUGUUAAGGAACUCGGCAAAAUGACCCCGUAACUUCGGGAGAAGGGGUGCCGGAGAGAUCCGGCCGCAGAGAAUAGGCUCAAGCAACUGUUUAGCAAAAACACAGGUCUAUGCGAAACCGAAAGGUGAGGUAUAUGGGCUGACGCCUGCCCGGUGCUGGAAGGUUAAGAGGAGAGGUCAGGGAAACCGAAGCUUUGAAUUGAAGCCCCAGUAAACGGCGGCCGUAACUAUAACGGUCCUAAGGUAGCGAAAUUCCUUGUCGGGUAAGUUCCGACCCGCACGAAAGGCGUAAUGAUUUGAGCGCUGUCUCGACAAUGCACCCGGUGAAAUUGAAAUACCAGUGAAGAUGCUGGUUACCUGCGCCAGGACGGAAAGACCCCAUGGAGCUUUACUCCAGCUUGAUACUGGGAUUCGGUGAUGCAUGCACAGGAUAGGUGGGAGGCAAUGAGACAGGAACUCCGGUUUCUGUGGAGCCGCUGUUGGGAUACCACCCUUGCGUCACUGGGUUUCUAACCUGCAGCCAUGACCUGGCUGGGGGACAAUGUCAGGCGGGGAGUUUGACUGGGGCGGUCGCCUCCGAAAGGGUAUCGGAGGCGCUCAAAGGUUCCCUCAGAAUGGUUGGAAACCAUUCGCAGAGUGCAAAGGCAGAAGGGAGCUUGACUGCGAGACCGACGGGUCGAGCAGGUAGGAAACUAGGACUUAGUGAUCCGGUGGUAUGAAAGUGGGAUUGCCAUCGCUCAACGGAUAAAAGCUACCCUGGGGAUAACAGGCUUAUCACUCCCAAGAGUUCACAUCGACGGAGUGGUUUGGCACCUCGAUGUCGGCUCAUCGCAUCCUGGGGCUGGAGUAGGUCCCAAGGGUUGGGCUGUUCGCCCAUUAAAGCGGUACGCGAGCUGGGUUCAGAACGUCGUGAGACAGUUCGGUCCCUAUCCGGCGUGGGCGCAGGAUAUCUGAGAGGAGCUGUCCUUAGUACGAGAGGACCGGGAUGGACGGACCGCUGGUGCACCGGUUGAGCCGCUAGGCUCACGGCCGGGUAGCCAAGUCCGGACGGGAUAAACGCUGAAGGCAUCUAAGCGUGAAGCCCCCCUCAAGAUGAGAUAUCCCAUUCGGAAGAAGUAAGACCCCUUGA